CCUACGAGGCGCAGCAGUGGGGGAUAUUGCACAAUGGGGGGAACCCUGAUGCAGCGACGCCGCGUGGGUGAAGAAGCGCCUCGGCGCGUAGAGCCCUGUCAGCAGGGAAGAAAAUGACGGUACCUGAAGAAGAAGCCCCGGAUAACUACGUGCCAGCAGCCGCGGUAAUACGUAGGGGGCAAGCGUUAUCCGGAUUUACUGGGUGUAAAGGGGGCGCAGACGGCGAUGCAAGCCAGGAGUGAACGCCCGGGGCCCAACCCCGGGACUGCUCUUGGAACGGCGUGGCUGGAGGGCAGGAGGGGCAGGCGGAAUUCCUGGUGUAGCGGUGAAAUGCGUAGAUAUCAGGAGGAACACCGGUGGCGAAGGCGGCCUGCUGGACUGCAACUGACGUUGAGGCCCGAAAGCGUGGGGAGCAAACAGGAUUAGAUACCCGAGUAGUC
rnacentral:rRNA from 1 species